ACUAGACAAAGGAAUUCCCUCAGGGAUGCAAGGGCAGCCCCUCCUUUGUUGGUCCUGGUCCAAGCAUCGGGUAAAGCUGACCAGAAGCAAGGUUUGGGGACCCGGAAGUGUUCCACAAUCUGCUGCAGAGCUAUUGCCCCUCCUACCCACGAGGAAAAGCCCUUUUGAAGAAUGGGUCCUGGGAAACUGGGAUGUCCAUGUGCAGAGGAAUAAGAUUUGACCCUUAUAUCGUUUUCGAAUAUUAGCUCAAAGUGGACUGAAGAUCGAAUGCAAGACUUCAAUCUAUUAAAUCCUUACAGAAAAACCUAGAAUGAAAACUUCAUGCUGGAUAUGGUAGCUUACACUUUACAUCCUGGCCCUUGGGAGGCAGAGGUGGGAGGAUCACAAGUUUAAGAGUAGCCUGGGCUCUUAGUGAGGACGAGAUCCUGAAACAAGAGCUGAGGAGAUAGCUUAGUGGUUGAGAUUGCUUGUCCCACAAGUAGGAGAACCUGAGUUGGAAUCUCCAGCACCCAUGUAUAAACAGGCAUGACAGAGAGAGAGAGAGAGAGAGAGAGAGAGAGAGAGAGAGAGAGAGAGAGAGAGAGAGAGAGAGAGAGAGAGAUCCUGAGCUCACACAGCCAGUCUAGCCAAACAGCAAGUUUCAGAUCUGAUGACUCAGUCUCAAGGCAACAACUUAGAGGGUGAUAAAGGAAGACUCCAGACUCCAA
rnacentral:lncRNA from 1 species